CAAAUGAAGAUAUUACUGAUGAAACACCCCAUAGACAUCAAUGCCACUACCACCACAGAAAGGUAUUAAAGUCAUUGUUAAAAUAGCGCAUUCGGGUCUCUGUCAAAAUGCUGUCUCCUGCAUCAGCACCUCUCGUGAAUGCAUGUCAGAGACUGACACAGAAAAAAAUUAAUUGUUGAAAGUUUUAUCGUCACUUCAUAAUUAAAGCUGAACCACUAUAGUGCUCUUGGAUUUCAUCUAAAAUAUCUUAACUUGUGUUCUGAAGAUGAAACGAAGUUCUUAGGGGUUUGGAACGACAUGAGGGUGAGUAAUUAAUGAUAGAAUUCUAUUUUCUGGGCGAACUAACCCUUUAAGGAGAAAUAAAGCACAACAUUUAUUGAGCACAUUUCUAUGAGCUACAUAACACAAAGAGGCAAUGAAUGUGUGCAGUUGUUAUUUUAUCUUUGUUUUCCUAGAAAGAAAACAAGUACCGAUCAUAUCUACUCGCCAGAUGAAGAGGCAGCAGAUCAACCACCCAUUAAAAAAAGAAAAGCUGCAAACAAAGCAAGUGUUCCACCUGCACCAAAACCUCCAGCCAUUCCAAAACGCAACAAAAAAGCAUUUGUCAAUCAGCAACAAAGGGACAUGGAAGACCAACAGCAGAACUGGUGUGAGAGUCUCCCCAGCUUUCAAGCUCCACUGCGUAUGUCUCAGGCAGACCAUCACGGAGACGGCUGGUGUGUUG